GUGGGGAAUCUUGCGCAAUGGGCGAAAGCCUGACGCAGCCAUGCCGCGUGAAUGAUGAAGGUCUUAGGAUUGUAAAAUUCUUUCACCGGGGACGAUAAUGACGGUACCCGGAGAAGAAGCUCCGGCUAACUUCGUGCCAGCAGCCGCGGUAAUACGAAGGGGGCUAGCGUUGCUCGGAAUUACUGGGCGUAAAGGGCGCGUAGGCGGACAGCUUAGUCAGAGGUGAAAGCCCAGGGCUCAACCUUGGAAUUGCCUUUGAUACUGGGUGUCUUGAGUAUGAGAGAGGUGUGUGGAACUCCGAGUGUAGAGGUGAAAUUCGUAGAUAUUCGGAGGAACACCAGUGGCGAAGGCGGCUUACUGGUCCAUUACUGACGCUGAGGUGCGAAAGCGUGGGGAGCAAACAGGAUUAGAAACCCCUGUAGUCC
rnacentral:rRNA from 1 species